rnacentral:tRNA from 3 species
AGCAGAGUAGAGCAGUUCGGUCAGCUCGCCAGUCUCCUUAGCUGGAGGUCAGAGGUUCAAAUCCUCUCUCUGCAA